CAUCUCUCCUUCUCCACACUUUCCUGACACACAGCUUCUAAAACACUUGGAAUCUCCAAAACGGCUCAUAGCUGGAAGGAGCUUGCCUUGAGUCUCAAAUAAGACUUUGGACUUGAAACGUUUGAGUUUUUGCUGUAACAGUUACUUUAGAUUUUCAAGGAGCUCAUCUGGAGUGACCGUGCAGGUCACAGAGGUUAACAUGGCAUUCAUGGGGCAGUCAGUUGGCCUAAAAGACCUUACAUACUGCUUGUCUACUAUGCUGUGAUGUAGCCCACCACCCUAACUAAA